UACGAGAGGCCCAAACGUUAUUCGGAAUUACUGGGCUUAAAGAGUUCGUAGGCGGCGCAGAAAGUAGGGUGUGAAAGCCCUCGGCUCAACCGAGGAAUUGCGCUCUAAACUACUGUGCUCGAGGAAUCUAGAGGUGAGCGGAACUGAUGGUGGAGCGGUGAAAUGCGUUGAUAUCAUCAGGAACACCGGAGGCGAAGGCGGCUCACUGGGGAUUUUCUGACACUGAGGCACGAAGGCCAGGGGAGCAAACGGG
rnacentral:rRNA from 1 species